AGAGUUUGCUUCUGGCUCAGGAUGAACGCUGGCGGCGUGCCUAAUACAUGCAAGUCGAACGCACAGCGAAAGGUGCUUGCACCUUUCAAGUGAGUGGCGAACGGGUGAGUAACACGUGGAUAACCUACCUCAAGGUUGGGGAUAACAUUUGGAAACAGAUGCUAAUACCGAAUAAAACUUCGUAUCGCAUGAUACAAGGUUAAAAGGCGCUACGGCGUCACCUAGAGAUGGAUCCGCGGUGCAUUAGUUAGUUGGUGGGGUAAAGGCCUACCAAGACAAUGAUGCAUAGCCGAGUUGAGAGACUGAUCGGCCACAUUGGGACUGAGACACGGCCCAAACUCCUACGGGAGGCUGCAGUAGGGAAUCUUCCACAAUGGGCGAAAGCCUGAUGGAGCAACGCCGCGUGUGUGAUGAAGGCUUUCGGGUCGUAAAGCACUGUUGUAUGGGAAGAACAGCUAGAGUAGGGAAUGACUUUAGUUUGACGGUACCAUACCAGAAAGGGACGGCUAAAUACGUGCCAGCAGCCGCGGUAAUACGUAUGUCCCGAGCGUUAUCCGGAUUUAUUGGGCGUAAAGCGAGCGCAGACGGUUGAUUAAGUCUGAUGUGAAAGCCCGGAGCUCAACUCCGGAAAGGCAUUGGAAACUGGUCAACUUGAGUGCAGUAGAGGUAAGUGGAACUCCAUGUGUAGCGGUGGAAUGCGUAGAUAUAUGGAAGAACACCAGCGGCGAAGGCGGCUUACUGGACUGUAACUGACGUUGAGGCUCGAAAGUGUGGGUAGCAAACAGGAUUAGAUACCCUGGUAGUCCACACCGUAAACGAUGAACACUAGGUGUUAGGAGG
rnacentral:rRNA from 1 species